rnacentral:rRNA from 1 species
AUACGUAGGGAGCGAGCGUUGUCCGGAAUUACUGGGCGUAAAGGGCGCGUAGGCGGCGCUUCAUGUCGUCUGUCAAAUGGGAGGGCUUAACCCUUUUUCGCAGACGAAACUGGAGAGCUUGAGAAGCAGAGAGGCAAACAGAAUUCCUGGUGUAGCGGUGAAAUGCGUAGAUAUCAGGAAGAAUACCAGUGGCGAAGGCGGUUUGCUGGCUGCAUACUGACGCUGAAGCGCGAAAGCCAGGGGAGCAAACGGGAUUAGAUACCCCGGUAGUCCUGGCAGUAAACGAUGUAUGCUGGGUGUGAGACUAGCGAUAGUUUCGUGCCGAAGUUAACGCGAUAAGCAUACCGCCUGGGGAGUACGGUCGCAAGAUUGAAACUCAAAUGAAUCGGCGGGG